AGAGCUUGAUCCUGGCUCAGAAUCAACGCUGGCGGCGUGCCUAACACAUGCAAGUCGAACGCGAAGACCCCGCAAGGGGUUGUUAGCGUGGCAAACGGGUGAGUAACACGUGGGCGACCUACCUCAGAGUGGGGGAUAACCUUCCGAAAGGAAGGCUAAUACCGCAUGACAUCCCAUGUUUGGAUACAUGGACAUCAAAGCCGGGGAUCGCAAGACCCGGCGCUUGGAGAGGGGCCCGCGUCCGACUAGCUAGUUGGUGAGGUAACGGCUCACCAAGGCUCCGAUCGGUAUCCGGCCUGAGAGGGCGGACGGACACACUGGGACUGAGACACGGCCCAGACUCCUACGGGAGGCAGCAGUGGGGAAUUGUUCGCAAUGGGCGAAAGCCUGACGACGCAACGCCGCGUGGAGGAUGAAGACCUUCGGGUCGUAAACUCCUUUUCGACCGAGAUGAACAUCCUUCGGCCUAAUAGGGCGAAGGACUGACAGUGUCGAGGGAAGCAGCCCCGGCUAACUCUGUGCCAGCAGCCGCGGUAAUACAGGGGGGGCAAGCGUUGUUCGGAAUUACUGGGCGUAAAGGGUUCGUAGGUGGCUAACUAAGUCAGACGUGAAAUCCCUCAGCUUAACUGGGGAACUGCGUCUGAAACUGGAUAGCUUGAGUGCAGGAGAGGAACGCGGAAUUCCAGGUGUAGCGGUGAAAUGCGUAGAUAUCUGGAGGAACACCGGUGGCGAAGGCGGCGUUCUGGACUGUAACUGACACUGAGGAACGAAAGCCAGGGGAGCAAACGGGAUUAGAUACCCCGGUAGUCCUGGCCCUAAACGAUGAAUGCUUGGUGUGGCGGGUAUCGAUCCCUGCCGUGCCGAAGUUAACGCGAUAAGCAUCCCGCCUGGGGAGUACGUCGCAAGGCUGAAACUCAAAGGAAUUGACGGGGGCCCGCACAAGCAGUGGAGCAUGUGGUUCAAUUCGACACACGCGAAGAACCUUACCUGGGCUCGAAAUGCAGAUGACCAUCGGCGAAAGCCGACUUCCGCAAGGACAACUGUAUAGGUGCUGCAUGGCUGUCGUCAGCUCGUGUCGUGAGAUGUUGGGUUAAGUCCCGCAACGAGCGCAACCCUUGUUCUCUGUUGCCAUCAGGUCAAGCUGGGCACUCUGAGGAGACUGCCGGUGACAAACCGGAGGAAGGUGGGGAUGACGUCAAGUCAGCAUGGCCUUUAUGUCCAGGGCUACACACGUGCUACAAUGGCAGGUACAAAGCGCUGCAAACUCGCGAGGGUGAGCUAAUCGCAUAAAGCCUGUCUCAGUUCGGAUUGUAGGCUGCAACUCGCCUGCAUGAAGUUGGAAUCGCUAGUAAUCGCGGAUCAGCAUGCCGCGGUGAAUACGUUCCCGGGCCUUGUACACACCGCCCGUCACAUCACGAAAGCUGGCUGUACUAGAAAUCGCUGCGCUAACCCGCAAGGGAGGCAGGCGCUUAAGGUAU
rnacentral:rRNA from 1 species